rnacentral:rRNA from 1 species
AAUAGAUACCCAGGUAGUCCACGCCGUAAACGGUGGGCACUAGAUGUGGGGCUCUUUCCAUGAGUUCCGCGUCGCAGCUAACGCAUUAAGUGCCCCGCCUGGGGAGUACGGCCGCAAGGCUAAAACUCAAAGGAAUUGACGGGGGCCCGCACAAGCGGCGGAGCAUGCGGAUUAAUUCGAUGCAACGCGAAGAACCUUACCAAGGCUUGACAUAUACCGUUUAUCCCUAGAGAUAGGGAGUCCUUGGGGCGGUAUACAGGUGGUGCAUGGUUGUCGUCAGCUCGUGUCGUGAGAUGUUGGGUUAAGUCCCGCAACGAGCGCAACCCUCGUUCUAUGUUGCCAGCGCGUAAUGGCGGGGACUCAUAGAAGACUGCCGGGGUCAACUCGGAGGAAGGUGGGGAUGACGUCAAAUCAUCAUGCCCCUUAUGUCUUGGGUUUCACGCAUGCUACAAUGGCCGGUACAAAGGGCUGCAAUACCGUAAGGUGAGCGAAUCCCAAAAAGCCGUCUCAGUUCGGAUUGAGGUCUGCAACUCGACCU